ACUGGAAAAGAGCUUGUCAUAGAUAGAAACUGACCUGGAUUACUCCGGUCUGAACUCAGAUCACGUAGGACUUUAAUCGUUGAACAAACGAACCCUUAAUAGCGGCUGCACCAUUAGGAUGUCCUGAUCCAACAUCGAGGUCGUAAACCCCCUCGUCGAUAUGGGCUCUGAGAGGGGAUUGCGCUGUUAUCCCUAGGGUAACUCGGUUCGUUGAUCGGUUAUACCGGAUCAGAAAAGUCAGAAUUUCUGUUACUUGGAGUAGAGGCUCUGAGUAUUAGGGAUAAUAUCCCCGGUCCACAUGGGGGUUGUGUUUUACCCCGCGGUCGCCCCAACCAAAGACACUUCAGUAAAUAUCACUAAGUUUUUACUGUUAUCACAGCAUGUUAAACGUGACUUACUUUAGGUCUAAAGCUCCAUAGGGUCUUCUCGUCUUAUGUAAUUAUCCCCGCCUCUGCACGGGGAGGUCAAUUUCAUUGACUGGAGAUGGGAGACAGCUAAGCCCUCGUGAUGCCAUUCAUACAGGUCUUCACUUAAAAGACAAGUGAUUACGCUACCUUCGCACGGUUAAAAUACCGCGGCCGUUAAACUUAUAGUCACAGGGCAGGCGGGACCUCUUAUAUUUUUGGAGCAAGAGGCGAUGUUUUUGGUAAACAGGCGAGGCUUGUGUUUGCCGAGUUCCUUCCUUCUCUUUUAGUCUUUCCUUUAGGCACACCUGUGUGGGGUUAACGAUAUAAAAUAGGUGUUUUUCUUGUUUUUUUUGACCUAUUACCCUC
rnacentral:rRNA from 1 species